rnacentral:lncRNA from 1 species
UCUAGUUGAGUACUAAAAUCAUCAUCUUCACGGGAGAUGGCAAGUGCAAGUUAAAAUCGAUAAAACUUUCCCCCAUUCUUCGCUACCAAACAAUCUGCCCAUUUUAGCUACAAAGGGGAGUAUCUUAGUGCCACAAGUGCUUGACCCGACCCGAAACCAUUUCUUCUUUUCAGUUCGGACAAAUCCUCAUUCUUCGUGUGAUCGUUCUGGGACCAUCAAAUGCCGGAGGAAAAGAGUGAAACACUUUCCACACGUUUUGCAUCAAUACUCCGAGUCGGACUCGGCCUCAACUCGCUCGGCCUAUCUACUUCUGAGUCUAACUCGUUUUGGUACUUCCGAGUCUCACUUUUCAAGUACCUCUGCAUCACAUCUUUGGAAAAUCGCUUCUCAUCAAAAGCCGAUUCGUGAAUUUCUUCUGAAUUCUGUAGCUUUUGACACUUGUUGGUUCUAGAAGAAGCUCGAGAGAUGUUGUCCCGCAUGAACAGAGACAUAAUCGGAACUUCCUCCACCUUUAACUUCACCGUAAAAAGCUUGCUCUGCGAUUGAUUCGGUUUGUUCUGAGGCUCUUCAUGUUUCAGAUCUGUUUUCUCAGCCACAUUGGCUUUCGAUUUCUUCAAUUUCAGUAUCAGAACUCGAAACUUCGUGGCCGAUUCAAAGAGUGAGAAUUGGGGCUUCGCGUUCGGCCCAUUGGUCGAUGACGGUUCGACCGGGAUGAACUGGCCCUUGAAGAAUGGAUCAUUGGAGGGAGAGAGAGUGGUGGUUGGGGCGUGGGGAGAGAGCAGAUAGGAGAGAAGAGAGUAACAGUGCAGAGGAGAGAGAGGAAGAACGCGUAGAAAGAGAGAGAUGGGUCAUAUUGAAAUAUUUUGGGUAUUACCGUAAUUGUACAAAUUUGGCGUAAGAUUUUUGCAAUUUUUAAUAAGAUAUUUUAUAAUUUUUAAUAAUUAAGGGGGUAAGUAAUCGAUUUUUUAAUUAAAAAAUAUUAGUGAUAAAAUGUUAUAGUUUAGAGGUUUAUUUUAGAGGGGUAUCCAUAAUUAAGCUCCAAUAAUGUACUUUCAAACUUUUUUCGGAGUAACAGAGUUGGGGAAGGGACUCUAUCCAAUCCAGAAGCGGCACGUGGCCGAGAUCCAUACGAACACGUGCCAGCGUGUUGAUGCGCUUCUUCUCUUCCACAGCUAAACCCGGUUCGCACACAGAGAGGGGGGCGAGGUAUGGAGCGUAGUGAAGUGUUGUAGCAAAUCGAGACCUCCCUUCACUGCCAGUAAGUGCUUCACAUUUUCUCUCUAAAUUCAUAUAAUACUCGCUCAACAUUCAAUUGUAUU